CUCUCUCUCUCUCAAAAACAAAUAAAGAUUAAAAAGAAAAAAAUUUUUUUUCAAAGAAAAAAGUCUGAUGCUUAACCGAGUCACCCAGGCGCCCUGUGGUAUUAUUGAUAAUAGCCUCAAACUGAAAACAGCCCAAAUGUCUGGUGCCUGGUGAAUGGAGAAACUAAGUGAGGUGUAGCCAGUCGAUAACAAUGGAAUACUGCUCAGCAGCCAGAAGCAACAGUAUGGAUGAAUCUUGAAAGCUUUACGCUAAAUGAAAGAAGUCAGACACAAAAUACUACAUACUGUAUGAUUCCUUGUACAGGAAAUCCUAGGAAAGGCACAACAAUAGUGCUAGAAAGUACAUAGUGGUUGCCAGGGGCCAAGGGGAAGGAGGAGAGAUUUGGCUCCAAAGGGGCACGGGGAAACUUUUUGGCAAGAUGUGGAAAUGUUUUGUACUAUGAUCAUGGUGGUGGUUACAUUAUUAUCUAUAUUCCUCAAACCAUACAAUUGUUCACUAAAAAGUAGUGAACUUUAUCGUUUGUAAAUUUUAGCUCAGUGAAGCUGACACAGGAAAUUGGGCAAAGUGUUCUCAAAUGCACUUAGUGGAUUACGUGGUGUCGAAUUUUUCCUUGCCCUUGGAGUAUAGUAUACGUUCUAUCUCCUUGUGAUGAAUGGGGCCAAUUAGCCCUGUUGGGAUGGUGACUUAUUUUUUUGCUUCUCUAUUGGAUCCCACAGUGGUCAGGAACAAACCAUAGCUUGCAAUUUAAUGGGACUCUUGCUGAGUCUUCUAGUAAGUGUUCUCCUUCCGGGAACCAGAACUUCUAAACCCGUAUUGCUCAGAGUUCCAGGAUUUGGACCCACGAAUUCCCCAAGUUGGGUCACCGGGAUUGAUGGUAAACAAGGCCUCUCCUACUUCUACUUCAUGAUUCCUGGACCCGUGUAUUCUGCCUGUUGGGAACACAGUACCUUAUAAAGGGUAUUGAUUUAGGGUGUAUGUCACAUCUUGGAGAAUGGUACCCCACCUUUGUAGGGUAUUGUCUACAAGGUGAUAACUCAGCUGUACCUUCAAAAAGCUGUUCCAUCACUCUACCAGCUUCUAGGUGUUGCCCUGUGUGAUCAGGCCAGUGGAUUCUCUGGUCAUGUCCCCACUGCUACACCCCCUUUGCUCUUUCCUUAGUCCCAUGAUAGAUAGUCUGGGGUCUUGGGGUAGUGAGUUGAACCUGUAAGCCCUCAGAUAAUAUUGUUGGGUGAGGCCCUGUUGGCAGAAAAGGCCCUGAUAUAUGUGUCAAUUUCAGUCAAGAUAAAUUGCUGCCCAUUUCAAGGUGAAAGAAGUUCAAUGUAAUCAACUUGCUAUCAAGGAGCUGGUUGGUGUCCUCAAGGGAUGCUACUGUAUCAGGGGCUCAGCCUUGGUCUCUGUUGACUAGUAUGCUGGGUAAAUAUUUAAAAAUCUGAGUAGGGGCCAUGGGGAGGGGCGUGGGAACCUGACUUGUAGCAUCUGCUGAUUUCCUUGUUGUAAGUAUUCCCACCAUGGCCAAUUCCACGCUACCAACAUGAUGUCAACUGUCGCACAAAACUCCUGAAAGGUGGACAGUCGACUGUCCCAAAGCUUCGUAGGCUGGCUCUAACACACUGGCGUCUCUGCUGCCAGGUUGGAUAGUCAACAGUGACAUUAGAGGGUAAGAGGGGAGCCCACACUGUUGAACUCCCAUGUAAUCUUGGCCACCAUGGCUACUCCGUUCAAGGGCAACAUCUCAGUACCGGAAUGGCUGAUGACAGGGGUCGGCUGACAUGAACUGACUGGGUGGCUCUGACCACAUGAGUGCUUGGUGCCUCUUCCAUAGCAGAUGCUCUCUGGUAGGGGAUAACAUGCGAUACCAAGAUACUCACACUUUUUACUGACUACCACGGGAUUUCCCACAUGCCUCUUUGUCCCUGAUCUUCCAAUAUUUCUACCCCUCCAGACCCCGUGACCAACUAGCCAAGCCAUUGGCCACUGUCCAUGAGUUUAUGUACAUUCUUAACCAAGGCCACUUCUCUUUCCACACAACACGAGGUUCUGCCCAUUGGGAGGAUUUCCCCCUAACCACUGUCUGGAGCAGUUGUACAUCACAAGUCCAUUUUUGCUUUGCACGCACAUACCAAGCUGACCUAUAUGUGAACCAAGUUGGCCAUUUUCCUUCUCCAUCAGCUCGUCAUAAAGGACUGAGGAGAGAUACUGGUACCAUAGUCCCAGAUGACAUGGAAGUCUGGGCAAUUGACUCCUUCAGCUUACUUGCACCUUCUGGUCUAUCUUACAGUGCAUUGCUCCUGGACCCACAUGACCUUGACCCAGUAGCCCUGACAGGAGCCAGCUCAUGAUGGGCAGUCUGGCCACACGAUUAUUUGAUAUCCCAUGGUCAGUUACUCCAUCUCUACCAAAAAUCAAAGCAUGCCAGGAGCCGGUUUUCAAAUUCUCUGCUGCAGAUGGCUUGGCCUUGUUUCAGAGCUCUGGAGUUUAUGAUGUGGCUCUCCUUUUGGGAUUUGAUAUAAGCUCCACAUAUCUUUUGAGAGCACAGAUAUUAUGGUAGAGAUCUGCCUGUUUUUAUGACCCAAGUGGUAGGGCUUCCUGCAUUUCAGCCUGGACCUGUUGCAGAAAACUUUCCCUCUACUGAACCCCACUUAAAUCUAGCCAUCCUUCUAUGCCGCACAGCAAACGGGUCAGAGUAGUAUUCCCAAGUAUAGGAUAUGCAGCUUCUGGAACCGUAAGAGUCCUGCCAGGCAUUAUGCUUCCUGCUUCGUGGUGAGAGAUGCAAUUUAUCUUUUACUUUGUCUUUUACUUUGAAAAGGAUGUCCUGGGGCGCCUGGGUGGCUCAGUCGUCUUUGGCCAAGGUCAUGAUCUCACAGUUUGUGGGUUCGAGCCCUGCACCGGGCUCUCUGCUGUCAGCGCGGAGCCCACUUCAGAUCUUCUGUCCCCCUCUCUCUGCUCCUCCCCUGCUUAUUCCCUCUCGCUCAAAAAUAAACAUUUAAAAAAUAUUUUUUAAAAAAAGGAUGUCCUAAAUGCUCCAAGACCCCUAAAAAUUUCACUGAUGUGGUGGGCCUUUGACUAUUUUUUAAAAAUAGACUUUACUUUUCAGAGAAGUUUUAAGUUCACAGCAACACUGAGCAGAAAGUACAGCAAUUUCCCACGUACCCCCUGACCUACACAUGUACAGCCUCUCCCAUUAUCAACAGCCCCCACCAGAGUGGUACAUUUGUUACAAAUGAGGAUCCUGUGUUGACAUAUGAUAAUCACCCAAAGUCCAUGGUUUGCAUUAGGGUCCACUUUUGGCGUGGAACAUUCUAUGGGUUUGGACAAAUGUAUAAUGACAUGUCUCUACCAUUAUAGUAUCAUACAGAGUAGUUUCUCUGCCCUAAAAAAUCCUCUGUGCUCCACCUGUUUAUCCCUCCCUUCCCACCAAGCCCUGGAAACCACUGAUCUUUUCACCAUCUCCAUACUUUUGCCUUUUCCAGAUGUCAGGUAGCUGGGAUCGUACAGUACGGAGCCUUUUCAGGUUGACUUCCUUCACUUAGUGCAUUUAAGCUUCCUCUGUGUCUUUUCACGGCUUAAUACCUCCUUUCUUUUUAGCCCUGAGGAAUAGUCCAUCAUCUGGAUGUUUAUGCAUCCAUUCACCCUACCGAAAGACAUCCUGGUUGCUUCCAAAUUUGGGCAAUUAUGAAAUACGUUUCUAUAAACAUCUGUGUGAGGCGUGGUCAUGCGUUUUUAACAGGGCCUUUGACUCUUCAUAGGAUUUAUUUUCCCUCUUUUGAAACAAACAUGUCUCGUCAAGACUCCAAUCCACUUUCUACUUUCGUUGAUUGACAUAGUGGAUCAACAAGAUAUUCUGCAGAAUGUCCAGGCGGUCCAAGUCCCUUCAGUUGGUUUUGUGACAGACGAAAGAGAGUUAACAUAGCCCUGGGGCUAGACCAUAAUGGAUGCUGUUGUUCAUCCCUUGUGAAUGUGGACAACUUCCUGUCAUCCUUCCAGAUAGGACAGAGGAGAACUUAUCUGCCAUCUCAAUGGCCCCAUACCACGUACCUGAACUGGAAUGAUUUUGAGAGAGAGAAAAUGUGUGUGCGGGCAGGGGAGAAGGCACAGAGGAAGAGAGAGAGAAAGAGAAUCUUAAGCAGGCUCCAUGCUCAGCGAGGCCAACGCGGGGCUUGAUCUCACAAACCGUGAGAUCUUGACCCGAGCCAAAAUCAAGAGCUGGACACUUAACCGACUGAGCCCCCCGGGGUCCCUGGAAUGACUUCUUAAAGUUGUCUUGAAUUGAAGCGAGAGGACUGAGCCUUGGUCGGCUACCUCAGUCACUUGAUUGGGUGACGCAGCUCCCUUCAGCCGAAGGCAGUCCCUGGGGGAGGUCGGCUAUGAGCAGGCAACACCCCCUACGGCUUUGGGAAUGAGUACCUUGGACCUGAAGGGGAAAAAUCCAGCCUGCAUCCCAUCCACCCACUACAGAUAUUAGUUCACCAAGCAGGAGUGCUGGGUGGGCAGUGGAGUUGGGAGAGAUGGGGUUGCAAAUCGAAAGGUAGGAGUCUUUGUCUUACACAUGUUGUCUACACCCAGCUGUGAAGCUGGAUGAGAUCACCAAGAGAAUGAAAGUGGAUUAACCCAAGAGAAAGGGAACCAAGGACUAAGCCCCGGGACCCGCGAACAUUAAAAAGGAAUCAUGAGGAUAGGGGUCUUUGUCCUUUCGUUCACCGAUGUAUCCUAAGAUCUUAGAACACGGAAAUACCAUGUAAGACACAGCCAGAAGGCAGUCCCAUCUGCAAGCCAGGAAGAAAUCCCACCGUGGUGACACCCUGAUCUUAGACAUUCAGUCUCCGGAACCGUGAGAAAACGCAUUUCUGCUGUUUAAGCCACUGGGCCUGUGGUGUUUUGAUAUGGCGGCCUGAGCUGAUAUAUUACAUAUCCUGAGAGAAAAAUCUCAGUCGGAAAAACAAACGAAAUGAUCAGCAACCAAGAACAUUCAACUGUAAUUACAGGCCAGGUCUUGUACAAAACAAGUUCCAAAGAGCAGGACGCGGGUAACCAGAGGGCCCGAUGACAGCCUUGGUCUGCCACAGGGUAGUCAUGUAAUCUUGGGCAAAACGCUCCCGCCUCUGCCUGUACCUUCGCCACUGAGAUGGUCGGACUGUAUGAGUUUUGUGAAUAUAUGUUAUUAUUAUUUUUAAAUAUA